rnacentral:lncRNA from 1 species
UACAGUUGAACUCUAAUCCUGCAUGACUCCCUUAUAUGCACAGCCUCUCUUAUACAGAGCACAUUGCAGUGUUUUUACAGAACUCUGUUUGUUGAGAUUGUCUCCUAAGUGGAAGAGCUGA